rnacentral:rRNA from 1 species
AUACGGAGGGUGCAAGCGUUACUCGGAAUCACUGGGCGUAAAGGAUGCGUAGGCUGGAUGUCAAGUUGGAAGUGAAAUCCUAUGGCUUAACCAUAGAACUGCUUCCAAAACUGGCAACCUAGAGUGAGGGAGAGGCAGAUGGAAUUAGUGGUGUAGGGGUAAAAUCCGUAGAUAUCACUAGGAGUACCGAUUGCGAAGGCGAUCUGCUAGAACUCUACUGACGCUAAGGCAUGAAAGCGUGGGGAGCAAACAGGAUUAGAAACCCCAGUAGUCC